UUGUUAUUUAAAUAAAUUUGCCGCAAUUUUUUGAAAGAAUUUUAGUGUUUACUAAUAUUACAAAUGUUUACCAAUGAAGAAAAAGCUGACAUGCUGGACGUUAUAUUCCUGCGCAUACGUACUUGCAUUAGAUAAUAAGGUUCAAGACAGAAGAAAAGACUUAAACGGUGACAUUUGAAGAUGUGCUGAUAAGCUUUCGCUGGACGACACGUGUUCUUCUGAUUCAUGUUUAAGACUGAUAAUAGGAAAUAUAUCAUCAACGAUACUUAGGUAGAACCUUCCCAAUCCCGACAAGGGUUUAAAAUAUCAAAAUUUAGCGGUCGUAUGUGAAAUUCAAUGUCAAUGUCAACCAGAAUGCGCAGAUGAUGUUUUUUUUUUUAAUUAAAAACGAGAGUGAAAAACUAAAAGAAGAAAUGAGAACGAAAAAGCUACUGUUUACAAAAGGCUAACAAAGCUUUUUUUGAAAGGACAUUAUUUUUUUAAAAGCAAAGUAUCUCUUUUGCGACCAUAAAUAUUAAAGAACAAACAAGAUUACUCUCCUUCGAGAAUAAAGUUUUAAAGAAAGGUGGAUCCGUACAAGAUUCAGUAACAAUCCAGAGGAGGAAAUGCAUGUAUCGUGAAGUAAGGAAAAUGACUAAUUAGCUAUUGACCACUAGCACAAAACGAUCCAGAAGGCUUGCAUGGGCAGGACACCAAUUUAGAGCGGAGAAUAGGGAUAUUAGGUUUAUAGAAGUAGAUCAAAUGCAAGAAGGCCGCAAAAACGAUCUAGAUAAUGGUGGACAGAUAAUUUAGAGAGAAACGCCAAUACUAUAGAAAUAUGAAAUUGAAGUAUGAAUAGAAAUAGCAAGAAAUAAGACUCGAUUAAGGGUCAUAGCUUUGGGAUGUUUGGCCACAUUAAGUCAGUAAGUAAGGAAUCUCUUUUAGAGGCAAUAAAGAAGUUUCAUGACUGCAGACAAAAGUUUC